AUUGAACGCUGGCGGCAGGCCUAACACAUGCAAGUCGAACGAGUGGCGGACGGGUGAGUAAUGUCUGGGAAACUGCCUGAUGGAGGGGGAUAACUACUGGAAACGGUAGCUAAUACCGCAUACCAUCAGAUGUGCCCAGAUGGGAUUAGCUGGUUGGUGGGGUAACGGCUCACCUAGGCGACGAUCCCUAGCUGGUCUGAGAGGAUGACCAGCCACACGGGGACUGAGACACGGUCCAGACUCCUACGGGAGGCAGCAGUUGGGAAUAUUGCACAAUGGGCGCAAGCCUGAUACAGCCAUGCCGCGUGUAUGAAGAAGGCCUUCGGGUUGUAAAGUACUUUCAGCGGGGAGGCGUUACCCGCAGAAGAAGCACCGGCUAACUCCGUGCCAGCAGCCGCGGUAAUAC
rnacentral:rRNA from 1 species